GUGCCCGUAGCUCAGUUGGUAGAGCACGUGACUUUUAAUCAUGUGGUCGUGGGUUCGAGUCCCACCGGGCACA
rnacentral:tRNA from 1 species